ensembl:lncRNA
GUGACUUAAAAGUUGUGGUAGUUGUGAGCUUCUCUUGGAGGGUUGGGCGAAUUGUGAAGAAAUACGUUAAAUUAGAAGAAAUGUAAAGAAGACUUCCCCUCUGAACUUUAGGUUUGCUGUGACUCAGAGAGUGUGAUAAGGAAAAAUUCCAGAUGGAAACUAGAGUUUUGAUGAUGAAGCCUUUGCUCACAUCCCAAAAGCACAAACACAUAGGAGGAGCUGCUGCUAGAAAAAGAAUGAAGAUCACCAUUGCUGGGCACAAAUGAUUGCAAUGAUUAAGAAACUGGAGUUCUGAGAAGUUAAAGGGACUUUCCUGGUGCAAACGAGUGACUGGCAGAUCCAGCACUGCAAUGCAGCUCCCCACCUAACCAUGAGUAAAAUGAAUAAAAAGACAAUAAGGCAAACACUUCUGUUCUCCAGUCUUUCCCAUCCCUUCCUACCAUUAGUCUCAUAAUGUGCAAUCAAGUCCUGGGGUCAUUUCAGCAUUUCAUGUACUCUGUGCAAAUCACAUUUACAUCCAAUUAAUGUUACCAAUACCUGCCCCGUCUUGUUAGCUAUUUCAUUAACUGCUUCCCUUCUGCAGAGGGAUGCCCCACCCCCACCUCAUUUUUCAUGAUCCUAUUAUAGAUGAGUGAAAUCUUAAAGGAGAAGGAAUCCUAUUUCCUCUUCUCACAAUUUGAAGAAUGAGAUAUAUUCAUGAGACUUUCAAGGCUUAAAUCUUAUUUCAUUUUAUUCUUUAGAAAUGCAUAAAAAUCUUAGUAUGUAAGUAUUCUUCAAAGCAUUUUAAAGAAAUGUGUAUAACAGGAUUUGGUAGCUGGAAAGGGCUUUUGAGUUUGCUGGGCCUGGCAUGCCCACUCUGCAAUUCAAGAAACUAAAGCCUAGCAAUGGUGAUGACUUACCUGGGGGUCCCAGAGGCAGGCGGUGGGUAAGAAUGCCAGUAUCCUGUUAUCUAAAAUCAUGUUAUUUUUACCAGUCAUCAUGUGAAUGUUUUGGUAUGUUAUGCAUCUGAUACGGUUCUGUGCUUUUCUUUGGUGUGUGUGUGGUUGAAAGUCCAGGUUUUGCCUUUAUUCUAACUGUAGCCUAUAAUAAUAAAACAGAUAUACUAUUACAUAUAUUACGUUGCUUAAAGUUGUGUCAUUGUAUGAAGGUAGUUCGUGUAUAAUUUUGCAACACCUACUGAUCCUUACAAAAAUAUCUGAACAUUUAAGAACCCCUGGUUUGUUUCCAUCCACUAGGAUUGCUUUACUGUUAAUGGGGCUGUGACCAUCAUUUCUGAGGAUUCAGAUGAUUGCAAAGAGCUCACUAUUCCCUGUGCCAUUAUCUCUACUAUAUGAGCGAACACUAACAAAAACAAGGUGGUGGCUAUAUUUUCACUUCAGUCACAACCAUUUCUAUUGGAGGCUCACAUCACUCAAAUCAAAGAUAGUUGUCAUCCCUUUUUCUUCACUAAAAUGGUAGUGAUAUAUUUUGAUCAUAAAGAAAUUACCAGGAGAUUAUUAAAAAUUCAUUUUAGACAUUGCCUCAAAGAAAGUUACCUGGAUUGCAUUCUACCUGUUUGGAAGCUACUAGGUAAAUAGCUGUUUAGUUAAGAUUCUUAUAGAUUAAUGAAAUUCAUCAUUUGAAUUUUUUUAGGUCAUCAGAAAACUUAUAAUCCUGGCUUUGAGACCGAUAUACUUUUAUAUUAAAGUUCUGAAAAUACUCAUUUUUUUUUGCACUUGUUCAGGAAUAUUUUGACAAACUAUGGAAAUGAAUAACGAAGUGUACAUAAUAAAUGUUCACAGUCUGACUUUCCAUAAGGCUUAUGAAAUAAUAUACAAAUAGCUACCAUUCUGCUGAGAUGUCACAGUAAAUACAAUAAUGGCACAGAAGUUAAAUGUUCCCAAAUGGGAUGCCAUCUUUAUGACCUCCCAAGUCUCUUUUCCAAUUAAAAAUUUGCCCCUUUUUAAUUGAAAGAGAGUUCCAUUCUAAAAGAAUAUAAAAAUAGAAAAUGAGUCAAAGAAUCUUAUACACAUAUAAUUUUGAAGGAAAAGCUAUAAAUAUCAGAUGAGAUAUUAUAUAUAUCUUUAAGAAUGUACUUUGUCUCACCGUACCAAAUAUCCUGUGAAAAUAAAAUAGAAUUUGAUAUAUAUGAAUUGCCUAAGUAUAACUAAAUAUUAUAAUUUUAGUUAACACAGACAAUUUAAACAGAAUAAGUACUAAUAUACUUUUUGUAAAAUUAAGGUAAACUAAAACCUACCUAAAAUCUAAUUUGUUAACCUAUCAUUUUGAAUCAAAAAUAAAAGAAUGUUUCAUCAAGCAAGGCACAUUUCUUUUAGGCAAGUCUGUCUUUAAUACCAUUCAUCUGGGCACAGUGUUGACUUCACUUAUUUGGGUGAAUGGGCUAGUCUACCAAUGGAAGCCUUUGGUAUAAUCACACCCUCACAGAUAGGGUUAAACCUAACCCAGAACACAGACUAUAUGAACAUGUUCCACAAUUAAAUACAGUCCAGUAGUUAAAUGAGAAAAAUAAAUCAGCAAUAGUUGGCUGGUUAGAAACACACGUGAGGCUUUCUUUAUCUGUGACAUUGAUUGUAGUUUUUGGGUGACUUGAUUCCACCAGAAUGUCAACAGGUUGGAAUGAUACCUUAACAGUUAAUUUUUAAUUUUUUAUUUUUAAUGUUCCUCUUUCUCUCCUGCUUGAUAUCAUUUGUAACCACUUAUAAUCUGAAGAGCGCCUUCCAGCUUUGAGCUCUUUCCUCCACAUGAAGCAUUUGUUAGAGAUGUAUCUCUGAAUAUUAACCGAAUGAAAACAUGUAACAGCCACUGCAUUCUCAUCCAAGCAGUUUAAAACUGAGCAUCUUUCUGGCUAGGCUCACUCUGCAGUUCCUUAUGUGGGGCUCUUGAGGGACCUGUUGGACAGAGAAGACU